AUGCACGCUGGCGGCGUGCCUCAUCCCUGCAAGUCGCGCGAACAGACGAGGAGCUUGCUCCUCUGACGUUAGCGGCGGACGGGUGAGUAACACGUGGAUAACCUACCUAUAAGACUGGGAUAACUUCGGGAAACCGGAGCUAAUACCGGAUAAUAUAUUGAACCGCAUGGUUCAAUAGUGAAAGACGGUUUUGCUGUCACUUAUAGAUGGAUCCGCGCCGCAUUAGCUAGUUGGUAAGGUAACGGCUUACCAAGGCAACGAUGCGUAGCCGACCUGAGAGGGUGAUCGGCCACACUGGAACUGAGACAUGGUCCAGACUCCUACGGGAGGCAGCAGUAGGGAAUCUUCCGCAAUGGGCGAAAGCCUGACGGAGCAACGCCGCGUGAGUGAUGAAGGUCUUCGGAUCGUAAAACUCUGUUAUUAGGGAAGAACAAAUGUGUAAGUAACUAUGCACGUCUUGACGGUACCUAAUCAGAAAGCCACGGCUAACUACGUG
rnacentral:rRNA from 1 species